rnacentral:lncRNA from 10 species
GGCCGGGCACUGCCUGCGUGGUCGAGCUGGCUGCCCCCUCAGCCGCCUGCCUUUGUGCCUCCAGCCUCCUUGGCUCCCUGAGUGCCUCACUUUGCCUUCUCCCCUGUUUCUCCCACCUCUGAGGCCGAGUAGCAGAAGUCAGAAGCUGGUGUCCAAGAGCCCCAAGAAGCAUGGUUAUGUCCCCUGAAGCCCUGGUCCACAUGAAGCUCUUCCUGCUUUUCUUCAGAGGAAGAUGCAGGAGCUGGUUAAUGGAAUGGAUUUUGCAUUCAGACAUCUCUUGGGGCUGCCUGUAGGUGGAUAUGUUCAUGGAAGACGGUGAAAAAGACAAGAAUAGGAUUUGCUGUAUAGAAUCACUAUAGUCACCAUCACACUGAGUAUCAACAACAUCUCUUGUUAUCCUCACAACUGUGCAAAACAGAGACAGAGUGUUGCUAUAUCAUGCAGGCUGGUCUCAAGCAGUCCUCCCACCAUGGCCUCCCAAAGUGCUGGGAUUACAGGCGUAAGAUACCAUGCCCUGCCUUCAUGUUUUUUUGUUUUUGUUUUUUAAAUACCAUCAGCACCAUUUUGGUGAACUACACAGCAUAUAAGAAAAAUAAUCCCUUGCUUUUGCCGCAAGUAACAUUUUAUAAUGGCAGAAGAGGCAACCCUGGCAGGCUUCGCUAUAUUUCCUGUAGAACUUCCUACCAGCGUUGGCUAAAAGGAUGCUGAAGACCAAUUGGGGCAGAGCAAGAUUACGAUAUUGUAGAUAUCCGACAGAGAGAAAGAGAAUGUGAUUGACUCUUAACUAGAGUCACGCACCACUCUGGAUCAAUCAUCUGAGGCCUGGGAGAAGUGUCAUAACACAGGCAAACGAAGAGGAUAAAUAAAGAAUGAGUGUCCCCCAGACCAUCUGGAAACCCCACCUGUGCAUCUUAAAUAAGGAAGGACCAAGCAGAUAUCAGAAAGAGGGAUGUUGGGGGAACAAGAAACUAACCAGCCUGCAGGAGUCGCUGGAGGCCAAAGACAAAUAUUUUCGCCGAGGAGAAUUUGGAAAAUUUCGCAGUAUAUAAAAAAAGAAAAUUAAAAGUCUCCAUCAUACCAUCUAUCAGCAA